AGCGAACGCUGGCGGCAGGCCUAACACAUGCAAGUCGAACGAGAAGCCACCUUCGGGUGGUGGACAGUGGCAGACGGGUGAGUAACGCGUGGGAACGUGCCUUUCGGUUCGGGAUAACCCAGGGAAACUUGCGCUAAUACCGGAUACGCCCUUCGGGGGAAAGAUUCAUUGCCGAAAGAUCGGCCCGGGUCGGCUUAGCUAGUUGGUGGGGUAAAAGCCUACCAAGGCGACGAUCCGUAGCUGGUCUAAGAGGAUGACCAGCCACACUGGGACUGCGACACGGCCCAGACUCCUACGGGAGGCAGCAGUGGGGAAUAUUGGACAAUGGGCGCAAGCCUGAUCCAGCCAUGCCGCGUGGGUGAAGAAGGCCUUAGGGUUGUAAACCCCUUUCAGCGGGGAAGAUAAUGACGGUACCCGCAGAAGAAGUCCCGGCUAACUCCGUGCCAGCCGCCGCCGUAA
rnacentral:rRNA from 1 species